rnacentral:tRNA from 1 species
GUCCCCGUGGCCCGAUUGGAUAGGCACGCUCUUGCAAAGUCCGUUAUGCGGGUUCGAUUCCCGCCGGGGACU